rnacentral:lncRNA from 1 species
AUACAAUAAGUAGUGAUCAUAUCGCCUGACAUGAAUCAUCUCAGACAUUCAUCAUCCGUGUUGGGAAUGUUUCAGAUGUCUUCUGUGGAGCUAGUAAGAUGGCUCAGCUUCUUCCGCCAAGCCUUGCUGACUGAGUUUGACCCCCAUGACCCACAUGGUGAAAGACUUGACUCUUUCAAGUUGUCCUCUGACCUCCACACACAUUCAGGUGGCAUGCUCCUCCUACCCACUGCAGGCACACAUGCUCAGGGGUGCACACACUGGUAUAAUCUGAAAAACAGAAUGUUCUUUACCAACUAUUUUGCCACAUUUGUUUGUCAACUGCAGUUAUGCUAUGAAUGCUAGAUGUUACUCCUUAUGCACUUGUACUCUCCCUACCCUCCUGUGUGUGCUAACCUCUCUUGUAUUGUCUGCUUAGAGAUCAGCUUUCAAGUUUCCACAAAUAAAUGAGAAGAUAGGA